UACGAAGGGGGCGAGCGUUGUUCGGAAUUACUGGGCGUAAAGGGCGCGCAGGCGGUUCUUCAAGUCAGAUGUGAAAGCCCCGGGCUCAACCUGGGAAUUGCAUUUGGGACUGGAGAACUAGAGUUCGGGAGAGGUGGGUGGAAUUCCCAGUGUAGAGGUGAAAUUCGUAGAUAUUGGGAAGAACACCGGUGGCGAAGGCGGCUCACUGGACCGAUACUGACGCUGAGGCGCGAAAGCGUGGGGAG
rnacentral:rRNA from 1 species